UACGUAGGGUGCAAGCGUUGUCCGGAAUUAUUGGGCGUAAAGAGCGCGCAGGCGGUCGAUCAAGUCGCGUGUGAAAGCCCCCGGCUCAACUGGGGAGGGUCACGCGAUACUGAUCGACUCGAAGGCAGGAGAGGGUAGUGGAAUUCCCGGUGUAGUGGUGAAAUGCGUAGAUAUCGGGAGGAACACCAGUGGCGAAGGCGACUACCUGGCCUGUUCUUGACGCUGAGGCGCGAAAGCUAGGGUAGCAAACGGG
rnacentral:rRNA from 1 species